UAAGUCGAUAGUCGCUCUAAGCUUCUUCCGGUAUAGGUCCAUGUGUUUGUAACACGUUGUUCAGUAUUUGGACGUAGGAAAGGGUGUUGAAGGUGACUGAAAAUGGCGAAGUCGAAGAACCACACGAAUCAUAAUCAAAGUGGAUGCAAAGUUUUUGAAAAAUCAGCGUUUUGCAAAGAAACAUAAUUUGAAACCAAAACAGCAGCUGAAAAGGGCAGAAGAACGCAAAGCAAAACGAGAAGCUGCUCAGCAGAAAUGAUUAUGUAUUGUAUUUUUUUACAAUAAAUUAUGUUUAAAGAUUU